rnacentral:rRNA from 1 species
GGUUUAAUUCGAUGAUACGCGAGGAACCUUACCCGGGCUUGAAUUGCAGAGGAAGAAUUUGGAGACAAUGACGCCCUUCGGGGUCUCUGUGAAGGUGCUGCAUGGUUGUCGUCAGCUCGUGCCGUGAGGUGUCGGCUUAAGUGCCAUAACGAGCGCAACCCCUCUCCUUAGUUGCCAUCAGGUCAUGCUGGGCACUCUGGGGACACUGCCACCGUAAGGUGUGA